rnacentral:rRNA from 1 species
UGGCGGACGGGUGAGUAAUGUCUGGGAAACUGCCUGAUGGAGGGGGAUAACUACUGGAAACGGUAGCUAAUACCGCAUAACGUCGCAAGACCAAAGGGGGGACCUUCGGGCCUCUUGCCAUCAGAUGUGCCCAGAUGGGAUUAGCUAGUAGGCGGGGUAACGGCUCACCUAGGCGACGAUCCCUAGCUGGUCUGAGAGGAUGACCAGCCACACUGGAACUGAGACACGGUCCAG